GUAAUUUUAAAUGUAUUUAUUUUAAUAUUUUUGGUCUAAACAUUGGAUUCCUUUUCAUAAAAUUAAUCUAUUCCAAAGUUUGAGGUUAUAUUGGAAAAGCGUAAAAUUAAUAAAAAAACAUUUUAUUAAUUAUUAGAUAGAUAAAAACUGAUGACUGAUGAUUGAUGAUUGAUGAUUGAUGACUGAUGAUUGAUCGAUGACUGGACAUCGCCUAUAACGCAUGAAGGUAGUUCGGAAGACACUAUACUGUGACACUCGGCGACGGUGUACAAACGAAUGCGGAGCUGAUCUGUGCGGUUUGCGACAAGACUGACAAGCUGUCGAGGUGCUCGCGUUCCUAAGUCGUCUUCUACUGCAUCAAGGAACACCAGAAACGCGAUGGGAAACGCCACCGGGAGUUUUGCGCGACUCACCCCGUGGCCGUCGCGUCUACGGAGGAGUCGUUCUCUGCCACCUCUGCUACCUCCGCUACCUCUCUGUCGCUAUCGUCCUCGCGAACGAGCGUUUUGACCUGGAAUUCAAGUUAUUUGUGUAUAUAUUUGUAUAUUGUUAUACGUAUGCUCUUGCAUGUUACAAUGCCUAACUUUAUGUAAUCUAAGAAAAUUAAAAUAUAUAAGAAGAAAAAGAGGAUUACUUUCAAUUAAAAGAAAAUAAACAAGAAAUAUCAUUGAACAUUUCUAUACAAUAAAAGCAUUCUAUUAAAUUGAUUUGCUGUAACAAGAUCACAAAAUGUAAAAAUUGAAAUUACAACAGAUAUGAUAUAAACUUAGGCAUUCUAAAAGGCAAGACAGCACGCAUUGCACGUUUAACUUAAUAGAAUAUUUUUUUAUGCCAAUUUUUAUCUAUCUAACAAUUAAUAAAGAUCUCACCGAUCUUGGGGUCGGAACGCUCGUUCGCGAGGACAGCGGCAGAAGUAGCAAAGGUAGCAGAGAUGGCAGAGAACGGUUCCUCCGUAGACGCGACGGCCACGGGGUAAGUCUCGCAAAACCCGGUGGCGUUUCCCGUCGCGUUUCUGGUGCUCCUUGGUGCAGUAGAAGACGACUUAGCAACGCGAGCACCUCGACAGCUUGUCAGUCUUGUCGCAAACCGCGCAGAUCAGCUCCGCACUCGUUUGUACACCGUCGCCGAGUGUCUGCGCACGACGGAUAUAUUCAAUAUUUUCUGCAAAGAUAUAAAUAAAUUCUUAUUUUCAUAUUGUAACAUGAAUAAUUACAAAUUGCAUAAUUUUUAUCUACAUUUAUAACUUACCACAGUAUAGUGUCUUCCGAACUACCUUCAUGCGUUAUAGGCGAUGUCCAGUCAUGAUCAAUCAUCAGUCAUCAAUCAUCAAUCAUCAAUCAUCAGUCAUCAGUUUUUAUCUAAUAAUUAAUAAAAUGUUUUUUUAUUAAUUUUACGCUUUUCCAAUAUAACCUCAAACUUUGGAAUAGAUUAAUUUUAUGAAAAGGAAUCCAAUGUUUAGACCAAAAAUAUUAAAAUAAAUACAUUUAAAAUUA